rnacentral:lncRNA from 12 species
GGGGGGGGGGGGGGGGGGGGGGGGGGGGGGGGGGGGGGGGGGGGGGGGGGGGGGGGGGGGGGGUAUGCACAGGGAAUUUUUUUUUUUUUUUUUUUUUUUUUUUUAAGGGGUUGUGUGAGGAUGCCCAGAAGACUUUGAAGCCACUCAUGGUAUCCUGUGAUCAGGCGAGGUGUGAUGGAUCCAGGGUGAAAGAAGAGUUAUCAGGAGCCUGCACCUGCUUCCAGCUGAGGAGAGGAAACACUUCUGGAGCAGAGGAUGGUGGUGGUAUCUUUGGAAUCCAGGAGGGAUCAGGCUCUGUUGGGCUCAGCACAGUAGAGGUUGAUACUGUGAGUUUGUGGUCAGGGUGGUUGGAAAAAUCAUUGCUGUGCGCAGGAGAGGACUCAGAAUUAAAGUCAUCACCCUGAUGGUUUGUAAAACUGAGCUGCUGAUGUGAGUGAGAGCUGCCCCAGGCCACAGAGGACACGUUCCCCAGCUCAUGGAUCAGUGAGGGCUGUACCUUCCCUCCUCCUCUCUCUGUGCCUGCCUGCUCACAGGUGAGGAGCACCUGGCCAGUGCUCAGCUGCCCUGUCACCCUCCUGGCUGCCUUUGGGCAUGGCUGGGGCUCUCUGCUC